CCUACGGGGGGCAGCAGUGGGGAAUAUUGGGCAAUGGGCGCAAGCCUGACCCAGCAACGCCGCGUGACGGAAGAAGGCUUUCGGGUUGUAAACUUUUUUUGACAGGGACGUGUAGAAGACGGUACCUGUCGAUUAAGCCACGGCUAACUACGAGCCAGCAGCCGCGGUAAUACGUAGGUGGCAAGCGUUGUCCGGAUUUACUGGGUUUAAGGGGUGUGUAGCCGGGUUGACAAGUCAGAUGUGAAAUCCUGCGGCUUAACCGUAGAACUGCAGUUGAAACUGUUGAUCUUGAGUACUGGAGAGGCAGACGGAAUUCCUAGUGUAGCGGUGAAAUGCGUAGAUAUUACGCAGAACACCAGUGGCGAAGGCAGUCUGCUGGACAGCAACUGACGGUGAGGCGCGAAAGCGUGGGGAGCAAACAGGAUUAGAUACCCGUGUAGUC
rnacentral:rRNA from 1 species